rnacentral:rRNA from 1 species
CGUGUAGGCGGAUCUGCAAGUCGAAUGUGAAAACCGGUGGCUCAACUGCCGGCCUGCAUUCGAAACUGGAGACCUUGAGUACGGGAGAGGAAAGCGGAAUUCCUGGUGUAGCGGUGAAAUGCGUAGAUAUCAGGAGGAACACCGGUGGCGAAGGCGGCUUUCUGGCCCGAUACUGACGCUGAGGCGCGAAGGCUAGGGGAGCAAACA